UGCCCAAUGAUUUAUUUAAAUGGCUGCAGUAUUAUGACUGUACAAAGGUAGCAUAAUCAUUAGUUUCUUAAUUAGAAGCUGGAAUGAAUGGAUUAACGAAAAAUUAACUGUCUCUAUUUAAAUAAUAGAAAUUUAUUUUUAAGUAAAAAAGCUUAAAUUUAAUUAAAAGACGAGAAGACCCUAUAGAGUUUUAUAUUUUAUAGUUUUUAUAAAAAAAUUAUAAAAUAUUUUAUUGGGGUGAUAGAAAAAUUUAGAAAACUUUUUCAAAAUUUUAACAAUAAUUUUUGAUUAAUUGAUCCAUUUUUAUGAUUAAAAGAUUAAAUUACCUUAGGGAUAACAGCGUAAUAUUUUUUUAGAGUUCAAAUUAAAAAAAAUGAUUGCGACCU
rnacentral:rRNA from 1 species